UGUUUCGAGUUUGAAACGAGUCGAAACAGCAUUGAAACAAAACAGAUGGUGAAAUUUUGCACAGCCCUACCUUUCAGUCACAUGAUUAGUCUGUGGCCUUUUAGCUGACUCCUAUGCCUUUUGAGGACUCACCAGCACUGAAGAAAAUGGAAGAAUCACUCCCUGUGAUAUGCAUACAACACCCCUAUUCAAACAAACUAGUCUGUUACUAGCUUUUUGUGCUUCACAUUGGUGAUUCUUAAGCUUUUGAUCCAUAAUAAGUCCCAGAAUCUUUUAUUCAG